AAUGUAAUUUUAUAAACUAGGGUAUUAAUAGUUAUGGGCUUUAAACCUAAAAAAUUUGGCGGUAUUUUAGUCUUUUCAGAGGAACCUGUAUAGUAAUCGAUAAUCCACGAUGGACCUUACUUAAAUUUAUUAAUUAGUUUAUAUACCGUCGUUAUAGAAAAUUUUAAAAGAAUAAUAAUUUUCAAUAAAUUAAAUAAAAUUAUAUAUCAGAUCAAGGUGUAGCGUAUGUUUAAGUUAUAUUAUGGGUUACAAUAAAGUUAUUUAAAUGGAAAUAAAUAUGAAAAAUUUAUUGAAAGUGGAUUUGAAAGUAAAUUUAUAAAGAUUAAUAAAUUGAUUUUAGCUCU
rnacentral:rRNA from 1 species